GCAAGUCGAACGGUAACAUAUAAUGAUUGCAAUCUGAUGACGAGUGGCGCACGGGUGCGUAACGCGUAUGCAAUCUACCUUUUACAGGAGAAUAGCCCAGAGAAAUUUGGAAUAAUGCUCCAUAAUAUCAUGUAUCGGCAUUGAUUUAUGAUUAAAGCUCCGGCGGUAAAAGAUGAGCAUGCGUUCUAUUAGCUAGUAGGUGAGGUAACGGCUCACCUAGGCGACGAUGGAUAGGUGCCCUGAGAGGGGGAUC
rnacentral:rRNA from 1 species